rnacentral:tRNA from 4 species
GGAGGGGUAGCGAAGUGGCUAAACGCGGCGGACUGUAAAUCCGCUCCCUUAUGGGUUCGGCGGUUCGAAUCCGUCCCCCUCCA